rnacentral:rRNA from 1 species
UGGGGAAUAUUGCACAAUGGGGGAAACCCUGAUGCAGCGACGCCGCGUGAGUGAAGAAGUAUCUCGGUACGUAAAGCUCUAUCAGCAGGGAAGAUAAUGACGGUACCUGACCAAGAAGCCCCGGCUAACUACGUGCCAGCAGCCGCGGUAAUACGUAGGGGGCAAGCGUUAUCCGGAUUUACUGGGUGUAAAGGGAGCGUAGACGGCAGCACAAGUCUGGAGUGAAAUCCCGGGGCUUAACCCCGGAACUGCUUUGGAAACUGUGCGGCUGGAGUGCAGGAGGGGUAAGCGGAAUUCCUAGUG